AGCUACGCAUCUCUGCCUCGCCUUAGGGGCCGACUCACUCUACGCCGAUGAACGUUGCGUAGAAAACCUUGCGCUUACGGCGAGGGGGCUUUUCACCCCCUUUAACGCUACUCAUGUCAGCAUUCGCACUUCUGAUACCUCCAGCACGCUUUACAACGCACCUUCACAGGCUUACAGAACGCUCUCCUACCACUUGCAAUAAAUUGCAAAUCCGCAGCUUCGGUAACUGGCUUAGCCCCGUUACAUCUUCCGCGCAGGACGACUCGAUCAGUGAGCUAUUACGCUUUCUUUAAAUGAUGGCUGCUUCUAAGCCAACAUCCUGACUGUUUUAGCCUUCCCACUUCGUUUCCCACUUAGCCAAUUUUAGGGACCUUAGCUGGCGGUCUGGGUUGUUUCCCUCUUGAGUCCGGACGUUAGCACCCGGUGCUCUGUCUCCCAAGCUGUACUCAUCGGUAUUCGGAGUUUGCCUUGGUUUGGUAAGUCGGUUGUGAAAGCCCUGGGCUUAACCCAGGAAUUGCAACCGAAACUGCCUUACUUGAGUUCGGUAGGGGAUAGUGGAAUUCCUAGUGUAGGGGUGAAAUCCGUAGAUAUUAGGAGGAAUACCAAUGGCGAAGGCAACUAUCUGGGCCGACACUGACGCUGAGAUACGAAAGCGUGGGGAGCAAACAGGAUUAGAUACCCUGGUAGUCCACGCUGUAAACGAUGAGUGCUAGUUGUCGGGGUCUUUGACUUCGGUGGCGAAGCUAACGCGUUAAGCACUCCGCCUGGGGAGUACGGUCGCAAGACUAAAACUCAAAGGAAUUGACGGGGACCCGCACAAGCAGUGGAACAUGUGGUUUAAUUCGAUGCUACGCGAAAAACCUUACCAACUCUUGAAUCUAGAUCACCGGUACAGAAAUGUACUUUUGGAGCAAUCCAGAUCUAAGACAGGUGCUGCAUGGCUGUCGUCAGCUCGUGUCGUGAGAUGUUAGGUUAAGUCCUAUAACGAGCGCAACCCUCAUCCUUAUUUGCCAUCAGGUCAUGCUGGGAACUAUAAGGAAACUGCCGGCGACAAGCUGGAGGAAGGUGGGGAUGAUGUCAAGUCAUCAUGGCCCUUAUGAGUUGGGCUACACACAUGUUACAAUGGUGGUUACAGCGGGAAGCGAUGGAGCAAUCCUGAGCAAAUCCUACAAAAACCAUCUCAGUUCGGAUUGAGGGCUGCAACUCGCCCUCAUGAAGUUGGAAUUGCUAGUAAUCGUGGAUCAGCACGCCACGGUGAAUACGUUCUCGGGUCUUGUACACACUGCCCGUCAAGCCAUGGAAGCUGUCUUUACCUUAAUGAGGUGUGCUAACCGCAAGGAGGUAGCCUCACACGGUAGAGGGGGUGACUGGGGUUAAGUCGAGACAAGGU
rnacentral:rRNA from 1 species